CAGGGUGUAGCGCAGUCUGGUAGCGUGGCCGGUUUGGAGCCGGGCGGUCGUAGGUUCAAAUCCUACCAUCCUGACCA
rnacentral:tRNA from 1 species